UACGUAGGGGGCUAGCGUUGUCCGGAUUUAUUGGGCGUAAAGAGCGUGUAGGCGGCCAGGUAGGUCCGUUGUGAAAACUCGAGGCUCAACCUCGAGACGUCGGCGGAAACCAUCUGGCUAGAGUCCGGAAGAGGAGAGUGGAAUUCCUGGUGUAGCGGUGAAAUGCGUAGAGAUCGGGAGGAACACCAGUGGCGAAGGCGGCUACCUGGACCAGCACUGACACUGAAGCACGAAAGCGUGGGGAGCAAACAGG
rnacentral:rRNA from 1 species